ACCGCCAUUCCCUUCCUAACGGCACUAAUACCUAUCAGCUUUGGCAAAAACUAAAGAAAGAAGGAAAGGAAAGAAAAGAAAAGAGAGGGGGGACGAAGGAACAGAAGGGAGAAAGGAGGGGGAGAGAGGGCCGCGACGGGGGAGAAGAGAAGAGGGGAAGGAGACGCGCCGGUGUUGCUGGGUGUUGCCGCCGCCGUCGCAACCUUGUCGAGCCUUGGAGGGAGACCCCGCCGUUAAGCCGCGUCACCGUCGAACUCGUCCAACCGCGCCACCGCGCUCAGCCCUGUCUCGCGUCGCCACUGUGCCAUGCGUCACCGCCGUUCGCACUGUCAGUUUCGCGCAGGGGAAACCAUGGUCGUUGAGGGUCCAUCCACGCCGUAGCUGAAGCUUGAACGCCGCUGCAACCACCGCGUGUUAUCGUCUUCAAAUCGCCGCCGUUGGAGUCGCGAACAGAGAUCGCGCGCAAGGGAAAUCGUCGAGGAGCUUCCGUCGUCGCCGCGUGCUGGGCUCGCCGUCGUUCUGCCCGCGCAGUUGCUGCGUUGCCGGAGCUCCUCGCCGCCGCUGCUGGCCCCGGAAACCGCCUUUCAAGCCUGUGUCUGUUGGUUCCAUUGUAGGUCUAAACUUUGCUGUUUAUGAGUCUUUGAAAGAUUGGUUAGUUAAAUCCAAUCCAUUUGGUCUAGUGCAAGAUUCUGAGUUGAGUGUGACAACUCGCCUGAGUCAAUGGAUUACUAUAAUCAGAAAUGAUGUGUUGAUGGAAAAGGACUUGUUCUGCCCAGUCAGAUUGGAAGCUGUGAAACAUUUUGGUCCUGGUCCUAGUAUUCCUCACAGCCAUACCAAGCCUUAUGUACGAUCUAAGGGAAGGAAGUUUGAGAGGGCUAGAGGAAGAAAGAACAACAAAGGAAGAAAGAACAACAAAGGACUUAGUGUUUAAGUUGUAUUGUUUUUGUAUUUUUCUACCGUUUUUAGUUUUGGAAUUUCAACUCGAAAUUUAUUUUGUAUUUGAAUAUUAGUUUAUUAAUGUAUAAAAUAAUUAAAGCAAAAAU